CGCGCAGAGAUAUCAUAGUAGGUGCACAUCAGCUCCACUUCACCGCACCUCUACAGGCGCAAGGAGGGAGAACACCAAUUUCUCGCGAGGGGCUUCGCUGAGUACACAUAACAGCGCUGACGCUUUCCUUGCCACCGCAUCUCGUCUUAGCGAUGGAGGCGGGAAUAGAGGCCACAGCAACGCCGGCGGCUGUGUCAAGGCCGCCGGCGGCACCCCGCCCAGGCAGGAAUACUCGCCGCAUACUCGUCUUGUACCUAGGGGGAACCAUUGGCAUGAAGAAGAACGCCGCAGGCGCGCUGGAGCCCGUCGCCGGAUACCUGACGGAGCAGAUGCGCGAGAUGCGAGAGCUGCGGGAGAGCUCCGAAAUCGCGCCAUUCGACAUCAUAGAGUACGCCGAGCUCCUCGACAGCAGCGACAUGAACGCCGACGACUACUGUCGCAUCGCCGCGGAUGUGCAGGUGCACUACGACGAGUACGACGGUUUUCUCAUCGCGCACGGCACGGACACGAUGCACUACACGGCGAGUGCACUUUCUUUCCUGCUGUGCAACCUUGGCAAGCCGGUGAUCGUGACAGGGGCGAUGGUGGCGCUGGCGGAGCCGUACAACGAUGCCCGCCGCAACGUGGUGAUCGGGAUGAUGAUCGCAUCCAACCCCAAGAUUUGUGAGGUGUGUAUCUUCUUCAACGACAGCCUGUUUCGCGGCAACCGGUGCAACAAGGUCUAUCAUACGUACGGCGCCUUCCGCUCCCUCAACUACCCGGCGCUUGGCGUUGUGGGGGCUACCGAUUUCGUGCUGAAGGACGAGCAUCUGCUCCCGCAACCAAUGGGUGCCUUGAAAAUUAUGUCGGACAUGCGUGGACGCGUGGGCUGCUACCCGAUCGACCCCGAGGCCGACGUGGACACCUUCGUCGCAUUGCUGGAGCAGAAGCGGCCAAGGUCGUCUCCCUGCGCCUUCUCCGUCACGGCAGCACCCUCGACGGACGACAGCGACGGCGCGCAGAAACCCCUGCUGGAUGCUGUGCUGCUGUCUCUCAACGGUGUUGGUAGCGUGCAGGGCGUCGUAGCGCAGCAGCUGCGGCGAAUCGUCGCUGUUGCGCACAAGCACAAUAUCGUUGUCUGUGCUGUGGCUCGUGAUAUCAGCGGCACGCUGAACCCGUCCGAGGUCCAGCGCCUGCACGCCAUCUCGCCCGAGAUCGUGUACCUGAACGACAUGUGCGCCUCCGCUGCGGAGGUGAAGCUCAUGUACCUGUUCGGCAAAGGGCUCAGUCCUGCAAAGGUAGCCGCCGCCAUGACGCAGAAUCUGCGAGGCGAAAUCACCCCGCUACUCGAAGUGCAUGCGAAGCUGUGAAGACUGGCUUAGCAGAAGGCGGGGACGGGGCGACGGAGGAGGAGAGUCACGAGACUGGGGGUGGACUCCGCAGCCACCUCUGCGCCUCUCGCCCGUUGAGCUGCAGCCGCGCACGGGCAGACGGUGAGAAGACGAAGGAGCUAUAUGCAUAUUUGUGCUCGCUUUUCAGAGAGUAGAGAGAGGGUGGCAUCGGCGAUCUGCACAUGUGUCUUGCAGCGCCGAUGACGAGCUGUCGCUGAUACACACAGACACACUGCGCACCUGCCCUCACUCGUCCCUCUACCUCUACCUCUCCCUGGCGCUCUUGUGAAUGCUAGACAUCGAGCAACCGAAGCAGCACACACAAGCAUGGUGCACGCAGGUGUGCACGCCGAUGUGUAGGGAGGCCUCUCAGCGGUAUUCUUUUUGGCCGAGCGGCAUGCGAAGCACCGCUGAGCUCUCUUCCCCUUUCUCUAUCUCUGUCGUGUUUCUUGUCUGCUGAAUCACCUCACCACACCCUUCCAG
rnacentral:misc_RNA from 1 species